rnacentral:lncRNA from 1 species
UUUUUUUGUCAAGGGUUUCUUUCAUUCAUAACUCAAAAGAGAGUAAAAGUGAAACAUAGUCUGAAAAACACAUACAUAGCAAAAGCAACAGCCAAACAUACUGCUGUGCACUGAUAAAACUUAAAUGAUAACAGAGUGAAGGGAGUGGCAAGGUUUGUGAUGUCAAGAAGACAACCUGCAAUCCCAUUCAAAUCCAUCCCUGAAUGCAGGGCAGAGAAGAAGACAUUAGAGUCUGAAAAUACUUGAAGCUUUGAGAGUCCAGCACACGAUCUUGCAAGAAGAGCUUCCGGCAGCGCCAAGGUUUCGACAGCAAAGGUUGAAACCACAUAUAGAAUAGAGCAUUGAGAGCAAUGGGCUACAUACAUACCAUGGAUAUACCAUCCGAAAC